ensembl:lncRNA
UGUUUGUCACGAGAUGCACAGCAGUGACCGUAGGAAUUCAUUAAAUACAUAUAGGAUGAAUGAAUGAGAUACAAAUAAUAACCUCGUAGCUGGAAAUCAGAGGCUAGAAAGGGUGAAUGCGAGAGCGAGGCUGUGGGGGCCGCAGGACAGGUGUCUGAGACCCCAGGGUCCGCCGCCCCCUCCUCACACACACCCAUCCCUUCCCUGUUCUCUCCGGAGGAGGAUUCCGGCCUCCGUCUGCAUCCGCCUGCGGGGUCUCUGUUCUCAUUGCUGUUCGUGCCUCAAGAAGCAAACAUGGCACGUUCCUGAGUCACGAUACGACACACACACGUCAGUUAGUCACCCAGGAGGCUCGGUUCAUCAAGAGAUUUGGAGGCAGUUGUUGAAGCACGUGUGGACGACUCACCAGGCCCUUGUCGGCGCAUCGGCAGACUGGAAACCCUGCUCGCCUUUUCCACGUGGACGAGUGUCCUCACGCCGGGGCCUGGCCAGGGGCUCGCUCCCCAUGUCUGAGGGCGCCGAGUCCCCGCUGUGGCCGCUGGCUCAGGGCCCAGCUGGGGUCCGACGGAGGGGGCGGCAGAGCAGGGCUGCAGGCAGGAGUGCUUCCUGGUGGCGAUGGUGAGGCGGCCUCCUGAGGACGCUGGUGAUGGGGCAGCGUCUCCCCUCCACUCUCCUCUCGUGCCUUCAUCGAACCAACAGCCAGCCCGAUGGGAACUCACUUUGCUCGCCACCGGACCCAAGGAGAGCAGUCCAGGGCUGGUGUGGCCACCGAGGUGCCCUGAGCAUCUGCCACGGCGUGUGGCCUGGGCAUCCCAUGCUCCUCUGUGCUACAAUAGGGCUGCUCCACCUCUCCCAUCACAGCUGCGUUCCUGGCAAGACAACAGUGAGGCCGAGUCCACCCCUUAAAGGAACCUGCCACCUAGGAUUCCCGCUCCUCUGCCCCCAUCGGGUUGGUGGGAACCAUUCAUUUAGGUGGAAAAUCAAGAGUGUCGUGCUCCGCCCAGGGCUCCGUGUCCGCCGCCGGAUCACCCGUGUGGCUCUGCCUGCCUCCCCGGGCCUCCUCGGGCUGGACCCCGUCUUCCGUGUCUGCAGGCCACACCCGGCCCGUUCCCCCCGCUGUCCUCCCAGUGUGUGUGUGACACCUGCUCUGUGAGACCAGCUCUCGGGACCUGCAUCUCCACUGGCACCUGCUCUGUGAUGCCAGCUCCUGGCACACACGCCCGCGGCUCCCAGGAGUCCCGUUGGCACUUACUAGGCAGGAGCAUGACUGAACGGAACUGGACACGAGUCAAGGCAGUUUUCUGCUCAGUGAGCGGUGGUGGAGGGAGUGAACGAGGUCGCCCGCGGGGACAUCCACUGCGGAGGAGGUGGCCUGACCCCGGCCAGUGGUCAGGGCCCCCAGGGCUGUCCCCAGAUGCGGGGGUGCCCUCUCCCGGGGAGCCCCAGGCUCUUGGCCAUCCUGAUGCUCUGGAAAGAAGUGAAAUAGCAGAGGAGCUGGUUUCUCUCCGGAAUUCCUGGAGUCACAUCUCAUAACUCUGGUGGCUGAGGGCCUGUUUUCAGGCAGCGUCUGCCAGACGCCGGCCAGAAACUGUGUGAAGAGUCCACAAGGCAGACUCCCGCGGUGGAGUUCUAGAAACUUCUAGAACUCCUCCUCCUCCCAAGGCUUCCUCCUGGCUUUCUGUGGGCCAUGGCAGGGAGUUGAGCAGUUGUGAGUGACCCAGCCAGACUGUCCGUGGAAACCCUCGGGUUAUUUUCGGCACCUGAUAGUAACUUCCAGACACCGAGGUGGUGGGGGGUUCCGUGUUGUCCUACAGCCUCCGACCUCUGACCGGGUUGUGCGAAGCCAGGUCGAGCAGCUGGGGGCCUGCCUGGUCACCGUCACACCCUGUACUGGGAGGCCUCAGAGUGGCCCGAGUCGAGGGCGUGUGCACAUUGGGACCACCUCGGAUCGCCUUGCUUAGACCUGACCGGGUUCCAUCUUGGGGGGGGGGGGUUGACAUGCCAGACCCAGGGCAGGAUCUUUACUCCCUGCUCAGCUUGGCCCCGGCAACCUCCCGCCCGCGAACUGGCCCCAGGACUCUGUCUGACCGAGCGAGCGUGCAGCCCGCCGGCCUUCUGGUUCCUGCACCGGGACGUGUGUGGGUGGGGGCGGCGGUGUCCCCAUAUGCUCUCGAGCCCCCAUGCAGGGUUCCCUUCCAGGACCACCUCCCCCUUGAGUGUGUCAUAGAUAAAUAGGUGUCCCAGCUGGAAUGAGGCUUCCGGAACAAGAGGGGACACGUGAGCAAGCGUACCCUGCGGCCGGCGGGCUGGGUGCACAGGGGACCCUCGCCCGGGGGCCAGGCUGGGGGGCAGGGAAGGGGCCUGAGGUAUGAGAACGCAGAGGGCCUUCUCAGGGCGCCCGUCCCGCUGGCCUGAAAUUUUGUCAUGGACGGUCAUUUCCAUGUUCCAGAAUUUAAAAUAAAGUAUUUGAAAUGCCCGCA